AGCGAACGCUGGCGGCAGGCUUAACACAUGCAAGCCGAGCGGGCGUAGCAAUACGUCAGCGGCAGACGGGUGAGUAACGCGUGGGAACAUACCUUUUGGUUCGGAACAACACAGGGAAACUUGUGCUAAUACCGGAUAAGCCCUUACGGGGAAAGAUUUAUCGCCGAAAGAUUGGCCCGCGUCUGAUUAGCUUGUUGGUGAGGUAACGGCUCACCAAGGCGACGAUCAGUAGCUGGUCNGAGAGGAUGAUCAGCCACAUUGGGACUGAGACACGGCCCAAACUCCUACGGGAGGCAGCAGUGGGGAAUAUUGGACAAUGGGCGCAAGCCUGAUCCAGCCAUGCCGCGUGAGUGAUGAAGGCCCUAGGGUUGUAAAGCUCUUUUGUGCGGGAAGAUAAUGACGGUACCGCAAGAAUAAGCCCCGGCUAACUUCGUGCCAGCCGCCGCAGUAAG
rnacentral:rRNA from 1 species